ensembl:lncRNA
CUUCAUUUGAUUGACCAAUGCAACUUAUUCCAGGCACUCAAUCAAGGCUAAAUUGGAAAUAUAAUAACACAACAAAUAAUAAAGGACUGCUCAGGGAACAGUAAUGCCGCACCGGGAGGUGUGUAUUUUACUCACCCUAUUUGUAUAGGAAGGCCAUUCUUCUGUCUUUUAUGGUGGCGAAGUGGUCAAUAAGUAACCCAGGGAAUGUUCAGGGAGCAUGAAUCUUUGUCAAAAUGAAGACAUGGCCAGCAAAAUAGUAGCUGAAGUUUAGCGCUACCAGCUAGCCACUCGGUGCGGACAUAGUUCUCCUCAUUGAAAGUGCGAUAACCACUCUUCUUUCUCUCCACACGCAGCUGAAGCUUAGGCAUUGGCCUGCCGCCAGAUUUAUUCUUUAGUUGCUGCCCAUGUGGCAGUAUGGUACAAUUUACUAAAUACUCUAAAUCUCGACCCUCCAUAACUCCACUUGCUUAUACGAUAUGAUAAAAAAAAAUGCAAACGUGCUAAUCUCCCGCUAUUUGUUUACCUUGACGUUGAUGCUUUCAUUUGAUUGGUGUGAAGGCUUCCCUUGGCACACUGCUGACUAAUCACAGGAGGCUCAGUGUCAUGACGGUUGCCUCACCUGAUUGGUUAAUCCUUUUUUCUCACCAAGGGAUGCCAUCCCAUGGGACAUACAGUGUGCAAUGUCGGGUUUUACCUAAUGGUGGAUUUAAUGAUUAGUUUCCGUGACCCAGUUCACGUGAUUCAGUUCGCCACGAGGAGUCGUUCGCGAAUCGUUUGUUCGUUCGUUCGUUCAGUCGAGUUUCCGGUAGCACUAACUCCACUGAGUCUGCAUCAUGGAAUGCACGCCAUUGCACGUUUCUCAUCUGAGUCAGUCAGACUCAGUGGAGUUAGUGCUACCGGAAAUUCAUUCGUUCGUUCAGUCGAGUAUCCGGUGAAUCGAAUGGUGAACGAGACGACCGAACGAACGAGAGAGACGAACCGGUUUGGUUCGUUCGUUCUAAAGAGUCGUUCAUUUGAACCGGUUCGCAAACGAACGAGCCAACACUACCUCGUAUUCAGUAUGUAACAUUUAGAGGGGCGCAUUUUGAAAUGCUCAAUGAGACGAGAAAAUGUGUAAGAAAUGACAGCAACACAGCACCAUAGAAUAACCGAAACUGUUAAUAUAAAUGUUUUUAUUGGAUGUCUAAAAAACAGGGAAGCCUGGCUUCCCUUGGCCUCCGGGAGAAAACGCUACAAUUAUAAUUUCUAUAAUUGUAGGUUGUAGUACAACCUACAAUUAUAGAAAGUAUGUCAAAAGUAGGCCUAGAUGAUUCAUUUGAAGGAUGUGGUGUUUGAAUAUGUUAUUUUGUCCUUGACCCUGAUUCAAUGAGCAUCUGUUAUCAGGCUGUAAACCAACAGACCUAGCCAACAAUAGGCCAUUGGACAUAAGCAUCUGUCUGUGACUUAAAUCGCCCAAAAAAAUAAUAAAUUGCAUAACUGAAUAUUGUGUUGUUUUCAGCAUGAAAAAUGAAUACAGAGCCGAAAGGAAAAAGCUAACCGGCCAUGUUUCAAACUUUUGAGCACUAAAGUAAACCCAGCUUUGGCCUGUGAGUGGCACUAAAGAUUUCAAAUCGGGCCCCCAAAUUGAUAUGAGGGUGUCUUUCUUGUGGGUUUGAAAUGUUUGGUUUCAGGCCCUAUGCUGCCACCUGCUGCCAAACCAUAACCUUGUAAUGCGUAGUAGCGUAGUAGUUUAGGCAAUCAGAUAUUUUAUGAUGAUUGAAUGUGGAAAAGUUGAAUAUUAUACUUUGCAAUGUUCAUAUGCACAUGCAUAUGAACGCAUGCAUUCAUAUGUGUGAUUCCCUGAUGUCCAACUCAGGUUGGUUUAAUCCUCACACGGUCACAUCACACCUGGUGCAAUUUUCAGUAUCAGUAGCAUGCAUACGCAAUAAUGCAAGUGUUUUGUGAUAUUUUUGUUUCAAAGAUCUGGGGUAUCCUGUAGGCUGGUUUUCUAUUAAAACACACACAAAUUACUGUGAGGUCACAAUGCGCUCAAUGAUAGGUUCGGGAAGCUGGACUCGUCAUAAUGCCUCGUGUCAAUCGAGUAGCCUGCUGAAGUUCUAAAGUUUUCAUUCGCCCUUCGACGCCAAGUAGAGAGACUCAUAGAGAGAUUAUCGAACAGCGACGAUGGACAGGAAGACAUUGUUUUCUUUGUGGGCUCAACUGACCCCUGCUUCCAUCAUGAUGGAGGACAGGGAGUCAUACACCGAGGAGACCAGGCUCGUCCCCGCCCCCCCUACUGAGGCCAAGCCCCCGGGCCUUAACCCCCGCUACCCUCGUGGGGCUAGGCUGCCCUGGUUGGCUGCCCCAGCUGGUGGCAGCAACGAGAGGGUCGUCCUCCGCCCCCCUACUGAGGCCAAGCCCCCGGGCCUUAACCCCCGCUACCCUCGUGGGGCUAGGCUGCCCCGGUUGGCUGUGGCUGAGGAGGCUGACGACCAGGAAGCCUGGAUCCAGGCGGCCCACUCCGACACCGUGUCCCUCUGUGCACGGGCUCAGGGUGCCGCCUCGAGCCAGGAGACUUCCCCGGGCCGAACCCCCCCAGAAGUGGCUGACCCUGACCACCAUCGUGGGGCUAGGCUGCCCCGGUUGGCUGUCCCAGCCGCUGGCGCCAACGACAGGAUCGUCCUCUGCCCUACUGAGGCCAAGCCCCCACAUAGACCCCCAGUGUCCUUCACAGUGGAUCUGCGGGACGCCCCGUUGAGCUCCGCCUCCUCGUCCCGGAACGCCGCUGCCUCCGCCCGCCGCCGGGCGCACGGUGGCGCCGAGGCGGACCUCUCUGGGACGGAGCGCUCCCAGUCCGCCAACGGCCAGAGGUCCCAGGCCCCAGGCAGGAUCGUCCUCCGCCCCCCUACUGAGGCCAAGCCCCCGGGCCUUAACCCCCGCUACCCUCGUGGGUCUAGGCUGCCCCGGUUGGCUGCCCCAGCCGCUGGCGCCAACGACAGGAUCGUCCUCCGCCCUACUGAGGCCAAGCCCCCCACAUAGACCCCCAGUGUCCUUCACAGUGGAUCUGCGGGACGCCCCGCUGAGCUCCGCCCCCUCGUCCCGGAAUGCCGCUGCCUCCGCCCGCCGCCGGGUGCCCAGAGAGGUCCGCCUCCGUCCCGAGGCGGACCUCUCUGGGACGGAGCGCUCCCAGUUCGCCAACGGCCAGAGGUCCCAGGCCCCAGGCAGCCCGCCGGCCUCUGACGUUCCUGAAGGCGUGGCGGGCAGAGGUAAGUACGCGUUGAGCCCGUUUCCCCCUGUGCAGGAGCGUCUGAGGAACGGCAGGAUCCCCCGGGAGAAGCUCCGGGGCCCGCCCCCCCACCAGGCAGGGGAAGAGGCCGGGCCCUCUGGGAAGAGGCAGAAGAACGGGGGCCGCUGUUUCCCCGACCAGAGGUUGACCGCUGAGCCCGAGCUGGAGGAGAAGCUGUUGGAUAGCAGAG